GCGAGACUCCGUCUCAAAAACAAAACCAAACAAAAAAACAAAGAGACUGCAGCUUCCAUCUUGCUCUCUUGGAUCACUUGCCCUAAGGGAACUUAGCUGCUAUGUUAUAAGCACACUCAAUGUUAUAUGCUAUGUUAUAAGCACAGCCCAAUGCAGGGACACACACAGCAAGAAGUAACUGAGACUGCUUGCCAACAGCCAACUGCUUUGCCAGCCGUGUGCACGGGCCCGCUUGAAACUGUAUCCUCCAACCCCAGUCCAGCUUCCAGAUGACUGCAGCCCUGGUCAACAUCUUGAAACUUAUGAGAUGUUUCUGGUGAGAAUCACUCAACUAAUCAGCUCCUGAAUUCCUUGCCUAUAGAAAAUACCUGAGGACAUCAAGGGCUCUGGACAUUGUGAAAGUUUCCCUUGAAGUUACAAUGGGAAUCCAGAACAACGUCACAUGGACCCCUCCAUGGGUAACACAGAAAGCAAAUGGUGUCUUUUAAGAUACAGAAAAAUUUGAAUUUUGAUGGUUUCAUUGACCAAUUUUUCCUUUUAUAGAUUAAGCUUUUGUUGUCAUAUCUAAGAAAUCUUUGCCUAACCCAAGGUCUUGAAGAUUUUCUCCUAUGUCUUUUUUUUUUUUUUAAGACAAGGUCUCAUUCUAUUGCCCAGACUGGAGUACAGUGGCAGGAUCACAG
rnacentral:lncRNA from 10 species